AUGACUAAUGUUGAGUCCAUGGAUUAUACGCACUCUCACCCUUCCACCAUUGCUAGCCUCUUUGGUACCCUUCCUCAAAACAGACACCAUACCUACCUAUUAUGGCAUUUCCAUAGCCAUUCCGAGAUAUAUUUCCAUGCAACUUCCACCGGUCCGUUUUAUUAUGACACGCACCAUCAUUGUCAUAUUGCUUUACAUGAUCAUAUAGUUGACAUAGUAUUUGUGGCUUGGCCACCGACCAUAUUUUUUAUACAUGUCACGCUAGCUCAUUGCACAUCCCGGUACACCGCCAGAGGCAUUCAUAUAGAGUCAUAUUUUUGUUCUAGUAUCGAGUUGUAA
rnacentral:rRNA from 1 species